rnacentral:rRNA from 1 species
UUUAUGGAGAGUUUGAUCCUGGCUCAGGAUGAACGCUGGCGGCGUGCUUAACACAUGCAAGUCGAACGAUGAAGCCGGAGCUUGCUCUGGUGGAUUAGUGGCGAACGGGUGAGUAACACGUGAGUAACCUGCCCUU